UGUUAGAAUGGAAAGAGUUUAGUUAGAAUUCAACUAAUGGCAUGAUGGUAAUUAUCACUUAGUUUGAGGGCAUAAUGGACCUUGAGUAAUGUUGCAUGAUAUAAGGCCUUGUUUGGGUGCAUGCUAUUCAUUUUUGUUUCACAAUUCAGAAUUUGGAGCAAGAGAGAAAGGAGGAAGUUAUGUUCAUCAAUUCCAUUUUCGCACCUUGGGUACAGCCUCCACUAAAUCAGCUUCUGUUUUGAAGGAGAAAAACGAGUUUGAAGUUGGGACAUGCAUGCUGAAUGUGAUGAAGAAUGGGCUACGGGUUUGAUGAGUUUGGAGUUGGAGUUUUGAUCAAGAUAGGAACUCAAUUGCAGCAUGUUCAUCAUCUAAAGCUCUAUUAAUCCAAUGUGCGGUUUAGUAGCUUUUGGUCAGUAGCAGGUUUGGACUGAAGACUUGGAAGUGGUGAUGGCUUGGAGACCUCGUCAGAUCUCAUUCUCCGCUGUGCAGAUCCAUUGAAGACACAUGUUUUGUAAUUCUUAUUAGGAUUUCAUGUUGUAUUUUAUAUGGAUCUUUCUAUAACUUUAGCUUUUGUAUGUACUCAAUAU